rnacentral:rRNA from 1 species
UACGUAGGGCGCAAGCGUUAUCCGGAUUCACUGGGUUUAAAGGGUGCGUAGGAGGGUGAGUAAGUCAGUGGUGAAAUCUUCGAGCUUAACUCGGAAACUGCCGUUGAUACUACUUGUCUUGAAUACCGUGGAGGUGAGCGGAAUAUGUCAUGUAGCGGUGAAAUGCUUAGAUAUGACAUAGAACACCAAUUGCGAAGGCAGCUCACUACACGAAUAUUGACUCUGAGGCACGAAAGCGUGGGGAUCAAACAGG